UACGUAGGGUGCAAGCGUUAAUCGGAAUUAUUGGGCGUAAAGCGCGCGCAGGCGGUCUUUUAAGUCUGAUGUGAAAGCCCCCGGCUCAACCGGGGAGGGUCAUUGGAAACUGGGGAACUUGAGUGCAGAAGAGGAUAGUGGAAUUCCAAGUGUAGCGGUGAAAUGCGUAGAGAUUUGGAGGAACACCAGUGGCGAAGGCGACUAUCUGGUCUGUAACUGACACUGAGGCGCGAAAGCGUGGGGAGCAAACAGG
rnacentral:rRNA from 1 species